rnacentral:tRNA from 1 species
GGAGGUGUCGCCUAGUGGCCUAUGGCACAGGUUUGCUAAACCUGCGUCCUUUAAUCGGGACUCAUGGGUUCAAAUCCCAUCACCUCCG